rnacentral:rRNA from 1 species
GUGCCAGCAGCCGCGGUAAUACGGAGGAGGCAAGCGUUAUCCGGAAUUAUUGGGCGUAAAGCGUCCGUAGAUGGUCGUUUCAAGUCUGCUGUCAAAGACCGGGGCUUAACCCCAGAAAGGCAGUGGAAACUGAACAGCUAGAGAGAGGUAGGGGUAGAGGGAAUUCCCAGUGUAGCGGUGAAAUGCGUAGAUAUUGGGAAGAACAUCAGUGGCGAAAGCGCUCUACUGGACCUUAUCUGACAUUGAGGGACGAAAGCUAGGGGAGCGAAUGGGAUUAGAUACCCUCGUAGUCC